GCGGAAGGACAUUAUUGAAUGUUGCUUGAUGGGUUGUAGCUGGCCCUUCGGGGCAUGUGCACGCCUGUCUUGACUACUAUUCAUCCACCUGUGCACACUUUGUAGUCUUUCGGGGUCUGGGAAGCGGCUGACAUUGUCAGUCGUGCUGAACCUCCCUCGGGGACUAUGUCUUUAUUCAUACACCAUGUAGUAUGUUGCAGAAUGUAAUCAAUGGGCCUUUGUGCCUAUAAAACCUUAUACAACUUUCAGCAACGGAUCUCUUGGCUCUCGCAUCGAUGAAGAACGCAGCGAAAUGCGAUAAGUAAUGUGAAUUGCAGAAUUCAGUGAAUCAUCGAAUCUUUGAACGCACCUUGCGCUCCUUGGUAUUCCGAGGAGCAUGCCUGUUUGAGUGUCAUUAAAUUCUCAACCCCUCCAGCUUUUGUGGCUGGCCCUUGGGGCUUGGAUGUGGAGGUUUUUGCGGGCCUUUCGAGGUCGGCUCCUCUGAAAUGCAUUAGCGGAACCGUUUGCGAUCCGUCACAGGUGUGAUAAUUAUCUACGCCAGUGGGUUGCUCUCUGUCUGUUCAGCUUCUAACUGUCCUCGCGGACGACUUUCUGAACGUUUGACCUCAAAUCAGGUAGGACUACCCGCUGAACUUAAGCAUACAUAAACGGGGAAAAAAAAAAGGGUUUUAGGU
rnacentral:sRNA from 1 species